UUGAUCCUGGCUCAGAAUCAACGCUGGCGGCGUGCCCAACACAUGCAAGUCGAACGCGAAAAGGGCUUCGGCUCUUAGUAGAGUGGCGAACGGGUGAGUUACACGUGGGUGACCUACCUUCGAAUGGGGGAUAACGUCCCGAAAGGGACUCUAAUACCGCAUAACAUCCUGCCUUUGAACAGGUGGAGAUCAAAGCCGGUGAUCGCAAGACCUGGCGUUUGAAGAGGGGCCCGCGUCUGAUUAGCUAGUUGGUGAGGUAACGGCCCACCAAGGCGACGAUCAGUAUCCGGCCUGAGAGGUCGGACGGACACACUGGGACUGAGACACGGCCCAGACUCCUACGGGAGGCUGCAGUGGGGAAUUGUUCGCAAUGGGCGCAAGCCUGACGACGCAACGCCGUGUGGAGGAUGAAGGUCUUCGGAUUGUAAACUCCUGUUGCUCGGGACGAAUAGCUUCGACCUAAUACGUCGAAGUCUGACGGUACCGGGUGAGGAAGCCCUGGCUAACUCUGUGCCAGCAGCCGCGGUAAUAAGGU
rnacentral:rRNA from 1 species